AAAUGAAUAGACGGGGGCCCGCACAAGCGGUGGAGCAUGUGGUUUAAUUCGACGCAACGCGAAGAACCUUACCAGGGAUUGACAUCCCCUGACCGGAUAUGAAAGUAUCCUUUUCUCUUCGGAGGACAGGGAGACAGGUGGUGCAUGGUUGUCGUCAGCUCGUGUCGUGAGAUGUUGGGUUAAGUCCCGCAACGAGCGCAACCCCUACAUUUAGUUGCUAACGGUUUGGCCGAGCACUCUAGACGAACUGCCGUUGACAAAACGGAGGAAGGUGGGGAUGACGUCAAAUCAUCAUGCCCCUUAUACCCUGGGCUACACACGUGCUACAAUGGUUCGUACAGAGGGCAGCGACUCGGCGACGGGAAGCGAAUCCCUUAAAGCGAAUCUCAGUUCGGAUUGCAGGCUGCAACCCGCCUGCAUGAAGUCGGAAUCGCUAGUAAUCGCAGGUCAGCAUACUGCGGUGAAUACGUUCCCGGGCCUUGUACACACCGCCCGU
rnacentral:rRNA from 1 species